GAUGAACGCUGGCGGCGUGCCUAAUACAUGCAAGUCGAGCGAACAGACGAGGCUUUCGCCCCUCUGCCGUUGCCGGCGGACGGGUGAGUAACACGUGGCUAACCUACCUAUAAGACUGGGAUACCUUCGGGAAACCGGAGCUAAUACCGGAUAAUAUAUUGAACCGCAGGGUUCAAUAGUGAAAGACGGUUUUGCUGUCACUUAUAGAUGGAUCCGCGCCGCAUUAGCUAGUUGGUACGGUAACGGCUUACCAAGGCGACGAUGCGUAGCCGACCUGAGAGGGUGAUCGGCCACACUGGAACUGAGACACGGUCCAGACUCCUACGGGAGGCAGCAGUAGGGAAUCUUCCGCAAUGGGCGAAAGCCUGACGGAGCAACGCCGCGUGAGUGAUGAAGGUCUUCGGAUCGUAAAACUCUGUUAUUAGGGAAGAACAAAUGUGUAAGUAACUAUGCACGUCUUGACGGUACCUAAUCAGAAAGCCACGGCUAACUACGUG
rnacentral:rRNA from 1 species